CUCUGCCUUCUCCAGCUGCUUCCGGAAGACUUCCUUCAGCUAGGAAGUUCAAGGAGAGAAAUCAGAUUAAUGGGUUGCUUUGGGGAGUAAUCAUACUGCUCUCUCUUGAAGACAUUACGGCUGGAAGGGACCUCAGAAGACCAUCGAGUCCAGCCCCCUGCCCCAGGGGCAGGAAGUCAGCUAGCUUCAAAGGAUCCCAGCAAGAUAAAUGUCCAAAUGUCUCUUAAAGGAGUUCAGAGUAAGUCCUUGCACCACCUCUGGCGGCAGUUUGUUCCAGGCCUUGGGGGCUCAGACAGUAAAGAAGUUCUUCCUUAUGUCCAGCCUGAAACAGUCUUGGAGGAGUUUGUGACUGGUUGACCUUGUCGUUCCUUGGGGCACUCUGGUGAACAGGUGUUCCCCCAGGUCCUGAUGGACACCCCUUAUAUACUUGUAGGCAGCCACCAGGUCCCCCCUGAGCCUGCACUUUUCCAGGCUGAAGAGUCCCAUGGCUCUCAGCCUCUCAUCAUAAGGCCUGUUCUCCUGCCCUCUGAUCAUGCACAUGGCUCUUCUCUGGACUCUCUCAAGGUUCUCCACAUCCUUUUUAAACUGCGGAGCCCAGAAUUAGAUGCAGUACCAUUCUUUUUAAAUUGUGACACCCAGAAUGUUUGUUACAUUGUUUUCAGGAGCAUGGCUUUUAGCCAGAAUCCUUAAUAAACUGAAUUGAACUUUG